GGCCUCUUGGUGUAAUGGUAAACAUUCGUGGUGCCGUCAUCCAUAAGCACAAACGAGCUCUAGGUUCGAGCCCUAGAGAGGCUU